rnacentral:rRNA from 1 species
UACGAAGGGGGCUAGCGUUGCUCGGAAUCACUGGGCGUAAAGCGCACGUAGGCGGAUUGCUAAGUCAGGGGUGAAAUCCUGGAGCUCAACUCCAGAACUGCCCUUGAUACUGGCGGUCUCGAGUCCGGGAGAGGUGAGUGGAACUGCGAGUGUAGAGGUGAAAUUCGUAGAUAUUCGCAAGAACACCAGUGGCGAAGGCGGCUCACUGGCCCCGGUACUGACGCUGAGGUGCGAAAGCGUGGGGAGCAAACAGG